GAAUAUUGGACAAUGGGGGCAACCCUGAUCCAGCGACGCCGCGUGGGUGAAGAAGGCCUGCGGGUUGUAAAGCCCUUUCGGUGGGGAAGAAAAGCCUCGACCUAAUACGUCGGGGUCUUGACGUAACCCACAAAAGAAGCACCGGCUAACUCUGUGCCAGCAGCCGCGGUAAUACAGAGGGUGCGAGCGUUAAUCGGAAUUACUGGGCGUAAAGCGCACGUAGGCGGCUUGUUAAGUCAGAUGUGAAAUCCCCGGGCUCAACCUGGGAAUGGCAUUUGAGACUGGCAGGCUAGAGUGUGGUAGAGGUGAGUGGAAUUUCAGGUGUAGCGGUGAAAUGCGUAGAGAUCUGAAGGAACAUCAGUGGCGAAGGCGACUCACUGGGCCAUUACUGACGCUGAGGUGCGAAAGCGUGGGUAGCAAACAGG
rnacentral:rRNA from 1 species